UACAGAGGGUGCGAGCGUUGUCCGGAAUCACUGGGCGUAAAGGGCGCGUAGGUGGCGGCCCAAGUCCAUGGUGAAAGCUCGAUGCUCAACAUCGAGUCGGCCACGGAUACUGGGUUGCUCGAGCACUGUAGGGGCAGAUGGAAUUCCUGGUGUAGCGGUGAAAUGCGUAGAGAUGUGGAGGGAACACCGAUGGCGAAGGCAGCCCUUCUGGGCCAACACUGACGCUCAUGCACGAAAGCGUGGGGAGCAA
rnacentral:rRNA from 1 species